UCCGAUAUGGUGUAGUGGCUAACAUCGCCGUCUCUCACACGGCAGCCGGGGGUUCGAUUCCCC
rnacentral:tRNA from 1 species